rnacentral:rRNA from 1 species
AGAGUUUGAUCCUGGCUCAGAUUGAACGCUGGCGGCAGGCUUAACACAUGCAAGUCGAGCGGAAACGAUGAUAGCUUGCUAUCAGGCGUCGAGCGGCGGACGGGUGAGUAAUGCUUGGGAAUAUGCCUUUUGGUGGGGGACAACAGUUGGAAACGACUGCUAAUACCGCAUAAUGUUUACGGACCAAAGCGGGGGACUCUUCGGAACCUCGUGCCAAAAGAUUAGCCCAAGUGAGAUUAGCUAGUUGGUGGGGUAAAGGCCUACCAAGGCGACGAUCUCUAGCUGGUUUGAGAGGAUGAUCAGCCACACUGGGACUGAGACACGGCCCAGACUCCUACGGGAGGCAGCAGUGGGGAAUAUUGCACAAUGGGGGAAACCCUGAUGCAGCCAUGCCGCGUGUGUGAAGAAGGCCUUCGGGUUGUAAAGCACUUUCAGUCGUGAGGAAAGGGGUGUAGCUAAUACCUGCAUCCUGUGACGUUAGCGACAGAAGAAGCACCGGCUAACUCCGUGCCAGCAGCCGCGGUAAUACGGAGGGUGCGAGCGUUAAUCGGAAUUACUGGGCGUAAAGCGUGCGUAGGCGGUUUGAUAAGCCAGAUGUGAAAUCCCGGGGCUUAACCUCGGAACUGCAUUUGGAACUGUUUGACUAGAGUACUGUAGAGGGUGGUGGAAUUUCCAGUGUAGCGGUGAAAUGCGUAGAGAUUGGAAGGAACAUCAGUGGCGAAGGCGGCCACCUGGACAGAUACUGACGCUGAGGCACGAAAGCGUGGGGAGCGAACAGGAUUAGAUACCCUGGUAGUCCACGCCGUAAACGAUGUCAACUAGCUGUUUGUGUUCUUGAAACGUGAGUAGCGUAGCUAACGCGCUAAGUUGACCGCCUGGGGAGUACGGCCGCAAGGUUAAAACUCAAAUGAAUUGACGGGGGCCCGCACAAGCGGUGGAGCAUGUGGUUUAAUUCGAUGCAACGCGAAGAACCUUACCAUCCCUUGACAUCCAGAGAAUUUUCUAGAGAUAGAUUAGUGCCUUCGGGAACUCUGAGACAGGUGCUGCAUGGCUGUCGUCAGCUCGUG